AAAACAACAUAGAAAGUGAAUCAGAGAAUGGCAUAAGAUAUAUUAU
rnacentral:guide_RNA from 1 species